CUUAGUAAGGUAUGUCAAAGGUCAUGGUUAAGUGACUUUGUAAGGCUGGUAUUUUUUCUUUAGUUUUAUGGCAAUCAGUGCACAUGGUAAAUAGCAUAAAAUUACCCUUAAAGGUCUUAUGCAAGGAGAUAGCUAAUUAAAAUGAACAAAUGUAGUUCUAUGUAUGAUGUAUAUAGAGACAAUAAUAUUUCUUUUCUUUUUUCAUUUUCAGGAACUUUACAUAGGUCUACAGUUUUAAUUUUGGACUCAUGCACUAGGAAUAUCAUAUCAGCAGAAUUGUGCCACUGAAUCAAAGGGAACUCUUUUUUUUUAGGAGUAGCCUCCCCUUUUAAAGAUCAAAAAUGGUGAUUUUACAGUGCGGCAUGCAGUCUGGUCUUCAACGAAGAGUUUUGACACCUGUAAUACCCAUAUUUCUACCAUUCACCUCUGUAACCUUUGUUGAGUUCAUCAGACUGUCACUAGGCAACACUAAAGAUUUCCACUUAUUGCUUUUCUGUCCAAGACAGGAAGUUGAGGAACAAAGUUGACAGGACAUCCUGAACUGUCUUCGCUACCAGCUUAUGAGGGAACCAGCUGCAGUGGACAAAGUAUGUUACAUCAUAGGAUAAUAGCAUUGAAUUGGAUUCUUGAACCAGAGCCAUGUGAACCUGGUCCACCUGUACCUCUCAUUGAAGACCUGUUAACAUCACCAGAGUAUGUUCAUUCUGAUACCCCUAUGGUAUGGUUACAGCAUGCAUUAUCCCUGAAUCCAUUAAAAGAGCUGCAUUGGCAAUGAAACAACCCAAUGUGGUCGAUUGUAAGGAAACAUAGCAUAUCAGCUUCCAACUUUGGUGCAGUUCUCAGUUCUAAGCAAAGGCGAUUGACAUUGUCACUGAAGAAACAGCUGAUGUCGGCUUGCAAUCUGGAGUCCAUCAAGGCUGUUGCAUGGGGUAUCACUCAUGAAGAUGAUGCUUUGAGAAAGUAUGAAAAGGACUUUGAUGCAGCUGUAGAGCAGUCAGGAUAUGGUUGCAUGAAUCCGGAGUGUUGGGAGCUUCACCUGAUGGCUUAGUUGUUCGACCACCAACAUGCAGUGUAUUUUAUCAAACUCCAGAAGCCAAAGACGCCAUUCCUGAUAUUGUAGAGGUGAAGUGUCCAUAUACAGCAUCGUCAUCAA